rnacentral:rRNA from 1 species
UACGUAGGCAGCGAGCGUUGUUCGGAAUUACUGGGCGUAAAGAGUGUGUAGGCGGUGUUCCCAGUCUGUUGUGAAAUCUCCCGGCUUAACUGGGAGGGUGCAGCGGAAACUAGAAUGCUAGAGGGUGGGGAGAGGUAAGCGGAAUUCCUGGUGUAGCGGUGAAAUGCGUAGAUAUCAGGAGGAACACCUGUGGUGUAGACAGCUUACUGGACCACUUCUGACGCUGAGGCACGAAAGCGUGGGUAGCAAACAGG